GCGGCAUGCUCUGUGAUUCUGUCUGCUCGCCUCCCCUCUCUGAGCCCGGGUUGUCCUGGCUCUUAAAUGAGGGAGCUGAUUGCCGAUUCCUACAGCCUCGUCCAGGCCUGAAGGGCCUUCCAGAGGGGUGAAUGGUGCAGGUCGGGGGCCCUGAUGGACAUGUGUUCAAAUGCUGGUUCCACAUUCUCUUGGCUGUGUGAUCCUGGAAAAGUGGCUCCACCUCUCUGAGCUACAUCUCCGCCACUACAAACUGGGAAUGGUGAUAUCGCUUCACAAGGAUGUUAUGAAAGUCAGAUGAGAUAAUGGGAAUCAAGCAUUCUGCACGGGACUUGUCACAUAUGGACAGAGACAAGGAGAGGAAAGGAGGUCCUAGGUACGCUCUCAGCAGAGCAGAGGAGGCUGUCACCCCCCUUGAGCUGCAGAAAGAAUAUCAGCUCUCCAAGGACAACAGCUUUGUCUAUUUUGUUCAGUUUUAUAUCCUAAGCUUCUCUCACAGUGCCUGACAUACAACUGACACUUAAUAAAAGUUUGUUGAAUGAAUGAAGCCAAUGAAUGAAGGUCUCAAUGCUGGGAAUAUAGAAAGAUCUCUAAGAUAUUAAGCAGAAAAAGCAAGCUUCAGAAUGACGUGGUGGAUGUGCCCCCACUGUAUUGCCCCACUGUGUAAAGAAUGUUUUCCCAUCAACCUAAAACUGCUAACAACUUUUAAUUAAUUAAUGUCAAUUAAACAACAAAUACUA